AAUCAAUUUUCUAAAAAAAAACAUCAGAUGUCAUUUUCAAAUGAAUAGCUCACCCCAGAAUGAAAGCCCAUAAUUUUUGAUUCUCCCUCAGGUCAUUUCAAUUUUGCAGGUGAAAUCUAGUAAUUUCAGUAGGAAUUGAUCAGGAGUUUCAUAUAAUGUGAAAAUGUUCCCCACACAUGUUUUGCUUGUGUUAAUGUUGGCCACGUGAAUUUGCUGCACUGACCAACAGAAAGCUGCUUCGCUUGAAGGUGACUUUGAUAUGAGCUGUGUUUUAUGUUGCUACUCUAUUGAAAAUAGACCAAUAGUGACUGCACCUUUACAGUAGCUCUGUUGGUGGAACAGACACAGAUUUUGUUAAUUCACCGAUAACCUUCCCCGUCAACCCAUCCCACCCCCCACCCCCCAGUAAAACCUGGCACAUCAAGAUGUGUUCCGCAAUGUUUGAGGUCAAUAACAUCAAGCAGCACUUGUUCUUGCUUGUCUCAUAACCAAAUAUUGAUGCACCAAAUUUGAAUUUGCAGAAAUGCAAAUGAGAUUCGAGAGCUUUCGCUGGUUUCUAUAUGCUUUCAUUGAAUGGAAAAUAACACCUUGAACCUAAUUUGCAUAAUUAGCAAUCUCACCUUUUUUGUUAAACAAAAAAAUUCAAAUGGCUUUGGUAUAGUAUGAGGGUGAA